UGGUGCCUGUAGGAUAGAGUCCAUGGUAUAUUUAUCCAAUUAUCUAUGGCCCUUUGUAGUGACUUGAAAUAUGCAUGUUUACCCUCGUAGCGCAUACACCACACGGCCACUAAAGGCCCAAUUUCCUUAAUGUAACGGGGAUAAUGCACUAAGUGGUGAAUUUUCGGAAUGAAUUGCCUAUAGGGCCAGCAUUCUUUAAAUGCAAAUAAGUAUUCCCCAACUAAUAAUUCUAAAUCAAGUACUUCACAUUCUGAAAUUUCUUUCUUAAACAGUAAUCGGCAAAUUUGAAGUAACAAUACAAAACAAUUUAAAAACGAAUCUUCUUUUGGAAUUUUCGUCCCAAUCAUCAUAAGAAAAUUUACUGAUAAAAGCCAUUUCUGACUUGCAGAACCACGAAUGGUUUCCUUUUUUAAAUGAGCAAUUUUUAUUUCCGAUGGCUUAUCUACAACCUCCGAAUGCCCAUAAUCAAAAUUGGAAAUAAUAUGAUUAAGCUGUUUCAAUGUAAAAUAUUUCAGAUCUAUACAAUGAAAAAUUAACUUACUCAAAGUGAGAGGCAGAACGCCUUCCAAAAUGUCAUGCAUUAUAUCAGGAACGAGCCCACCAAUAACAUGAAAAUACUUAAGGGAACUUAGAAUUGAAAUUUGGUUAAUUCCAUAUAACCUUGAAUAAUGAUCGCGCAGCUCUUCAUUUUCCAUUGCAGCACAUUGUUCAUCAUGGUCAGUUUCUGAUCUUGAAAGAAACUCACGAUCAAAAAAUUUAGUUUGAAAUUCUUCAGGAGUGCCUAGACAACUUCUACAUUUCUUAAGCCCCUUAGAGAACCCAGCUUUAAACCCCCCCCCCACUUGAUGGCUUGCUAAAUUAUCUGCAAUUACUGCAGUUAAAGUACCGUCAAAAAUUUCAAAGCGGCCAUUAAUACUAAAUAAAUGCCCAGACUCUAGCUUUCUUAUUUCUUCUACAAUUGGCUUUAAAAAGGACGAGCGGUACUUGGGAUUGAUGUUACCUAAUGAAAAGUAAACAAAUACGACCUUGUGGGUGUAGCUGCCAAUGGGGUUACACAAUUCCACUUCAUCAAUGUAGAGGUGUAUCUGUAAUGCGUUGGGGUGUCUUUUAAAUAGUUGACUUUCCUUAAAUUUUGUUUCAUCACUGUACGAUGUCAACAAACCUGUGAAUGAACAAAGAAAAAACUGCCAUGAAUACUUUCCAAUACAACAUAACAUUUCCAACACAGCUUACUUACCUUUUCUUAUAUUUGGAGGAGUGUUUAUCACAUCAUAGAUUUCUUUUAUGUUCAGAAGUUGUUCUAUUUGGUCGAUUAGUGGAACAACAACAUAUUGUCACCCGAGUUGUAUUGGAACAAGAAUACACGAAUACAACAAG